rnacentral:rRNA from 1 species
UACAGAGGUCUCAAGCGUUGUUCGGAUUCAUUGGGCGUAAAGGGUGUGUAGGUGGCGCCGUAAGUCGGGUGUGAAAUUUCGGAGCUUAACUCCGAAACUGCAUUCGAUACUGCCGUGCUUGAGGACUGGAAAGGAGACUGGAAUUUACGGUGUAGCGGUGAAAUGCGUAGAUAUCGUAAGGAAGACCAGUGGCGAAGGCGGGUCUCUGGACAGUUCCUGACGCUGAGGCACGAAGGUCAGGGAGCAAACGGG